rnacentral:rRNA from 1 species
GACGAACGCUGGCGGCGUGCUUAACACAUGCAAGUCGAACGGAAAGGCCCUGCUUUUGUGGGGUGCCCGAGUGGCGAACGGGUGAGUAACACGUGAGUAACCUGCCCUUGACUUUGGGAUAACUUCAGGAAACUGGGGCUAAUACCGGAUAGGAGCUCCUGAUGCAUGGUGGGGGUUGGAAAGUUUCGGCGGUUGGGGAUGGACUCGCGGCUUAUCAGCUUGUUGGUGGGGUAGUGGCUUACCAAGGCUUUGACGGGUAGCCGGCCUGAGAGGGUGACCGGCCACAUUGGGACUGAGAUACGGCGCAGACUCCUACGGGAGGCAGCAGUGGGGAAUAUUGCACAAUGGGCGGAAGCCUGAUGCAGCAGCGCCGCGUGCGGGAUGACGGCCUUCGGGGUGUAAACCGCUUUCGCCUGUGACGAAGCGUGAGUGACGGUAAUGGGUAAAGAAGCACCGGCUAACUACGUG